rnacentral:rRNA from 1 species
CCUACGGGGGGCAGCAGUGGGGAAUAUUGGACAAUGGGCGAAAGCCUGAUCCAGCCAUGCCGCGUGUGUGAAGAAGGCCUUCGGGUUGUAAAGCACUUUCAGUGGGGAAGAAAGCCUUGGGGCUAAUACCCUCGAGGAAGGACAUCACCCACAGAAGAAGCACCGGCUAACUCCGUGCCAGCAGCCGCGGUAAUACGGAGGGUGCGAGCGUUAAUCGGAAUUACUGGGCGUAAAGCGCGCGUAGGCGGUCUGAUAAGCCGGUUGUGAAAGCCCCGGGCUCAACCUGGGAACGGCAUCCGGAACUGUCAGGCUAGAGUGCAGGAGAGGAAGGUAGAAUUCCCGGUGUAGCGGUGAAAUGCGUAGAGAUCGGGAGGAAUACCAGUGGCGAAGGCGGCCUUCUGGACUGACACUGACGCUGAGGUGCGAAAGCGUGGGUAGCAAACAGGACUAGAUACCCUUGUAGUC